ACUACUACGUGUAAUCUCUUUACAAAACCCACCCUACGUGUUAUCUCUUUAGAAAAUCCACCACUCAUUUAUCUAGAUAUUUAUCUAGAUGCUUCCCACCGCCUCUCCAAAACCCUCCGUCUCUCUCUAAACUGAUCGACAAUCUCUUCUAUCAUUGAUGCAAUCAUAUCCGCAAUCAGCUAUGUCUCUACCUUCCAGGUGGUGGUUUUUAUUUUGUUGUGACACAAACAACGUGUCUUCCGUCUACUUCACCGCCACUACACCCAAUGACUUCGCUGCAGCUCUGUCCCGUUCUUCAAAAGUACUACCGCUACCAAAAGUCAAAGGUACUGUAGGAAUAGAGCAAUGGUAGUGGAGGAGGGGAGAGUCGUGUAUAUGUGGUAGACCAACACAUAAUCAUCAAAGGCUGAACUCCUGCACUCUGUUUCAAUCUCCUUUAGAAGAUUUGAACAUGAAUCAUUUGGGAAAGACUACUUGGGCACUACCAGUGAAGAAAGGUGUUGCCUUUUUGGAGGAUGCAAGCACAAAGAUAUUUUCCAAGAAAGUUGUAGACCAUUACAGUAUUAAAAGUGUUCUAAUUCAGCUAUAUGCAUGCAGUUCUUGAUCUUGCAUGUGGUAAGGGUGGCGAUUUGAUUAAAUGGGACAAGGCAAAAAUUGGAUACUAUGUUGGCAUUGGCAUAGCAAAUGGCUCUGUAACUUUCUUGAAAUCUAUAUAUUCCUUUAAUAAUUGUUAAAAAAUAUAUACAUUUUUUUGUUAAGGGUUUGAAUUUUGUAAAAUUAAGCAAAUAGAAGAUUGUCGCACCCGUUACAAUGGUGGUGAAGAUCAUUAUCAAAACUAGAUGUUAAAAAUGGCCAAUCUUAGGGUCACAAUGAAAACAGAGGUCAGACUAUAUCAUACUAGCUUUUAUAGAGGCUCUUCACAAGUUUUUUUUGGCGUUUAUAUUUAAUAGAUCAUCUAUUUUAUUUAGGAUUUUAGGAUUUCUUCUUCGAAAUUCAUAUGAUUACUGUUAGGUUUUUUAUUGGUUUGUUAUUACAUUCUACUUUUAUUGUGUGUUUUCAACAUGCUACACACAAUGGUCAUCUCAUAGCUUCGAGUUAAUGGUUUUCCUUCACUCUCCUUCGUUAUUACAUAUUGUUCUUUCUAUUAAAUAUGAUGUGGAGGCUAAACUUUUUUAUGGCUUUGUAGGGUAUAAUGAUCCUGCUAAACCAAAUCCCCCUCUAUUGCACAAGUGACAUUUUAGAUCUCAGCUUGAUUGCUAUAUAUGGAUCAUUGGAUUGAUAUAUGCAUAUCUUCAUCCUAAUGACAUUCUACUUCAAACACCUACCCAAUGUGAGGUACAAAUAAAAUUAAGAUGCUUUAAUUAACUUGAACAAACUCACAAAAAAUCUCACUGGAGCUGUUUUGCUGCAACAUUUUCUAAACAGAGAAUGUUUUUUUGGGGGGAUAAAAAGCUUUAUAAAAGUAAAAGCCUCCAGGAGUAUAAAAGUUUAUCUAUUUAUCUAUAUUCUUUGUUCCUUUCCUUUUGGUAAAAUAACACUCAUACUGUAAACAUUUUAUAUGUACUAUUCUAUCAGGAUCAUUUCAAUAAACAAUGAUCUGAAAUGAGUCAAUAGUAUAACCAUGUCUCCAAGGAUAUAGAUGUCAAAGAGCAAGACUGCGCCAACAUAAAGUGUCGCCAAAAGUUUAGAUUAUAUGCAUGGAUGAAAAUGAGGGUCUAUUUUUUUAUGUGGAAUUCAAGUUUGUAUUUAGUUGAAAAAGAAAUGGUUUUGUGUCUAUUUCCCUUUGUGUUUUUUGUUUAUUAUUGUUUUUUUUGUGAUAUUGCUUUGUUCAUUUUGAACUUAGACAGGUUUUUCUGGCGGAUCCAACCCCGCAAAGCGGGGCUCUUCCCUAGUUUUUCUUAAUUUUAGUUUCGGUUCAUAAAUUUCUUUUAUCGAGACUUGAGAUGUAUUUUAUUUAUUUAAUAUGGAUAAUGAUUUAAAAGAGUAAUAUAUUUUUUAAUUUGUAUAUAUUUGGCCACUGAUUUUUUUUGCAUCCAUAUUUACUCCUUCAAUUUGUUUAACUAUACAUAUUUAAUCCUUAUGACUGGCUACACAAGGUAAGCCAGAAAAAUGACUUAAAAGGUAAUAUAUUUCUCACUUUGUACACAUUUAUUCCUUAAUAUUUUUAUGCACAUUUAGUCUUUAAUAUUUUUUUUGUUGCAAAAUAAGUCUUUUGUUUUUUUUUGGUACACAGUCAGUACUUAUGAUCAGUUUAUUUUUGUUAGGUUUUUCUCACUACAUCAUACGUGAUAAGACCUAAGUCAAACCAUAAGAACUAAGCAACCAAGCAGUCGAGGCCGCGCUGACCAUAACCAUGAACAAUCCCCAAACACUUUAUUAAGUGUUGUGUAGGAUGAGGCAUGCAAGACUACAUUUAUAUAAAUCUUAUCCUAUCUUCUAAUAAUGAGGAGAAGGGUUUGGUGGACAAUUAAAGAUUCCGCACCUACUAUGAAAGAAAACAUUUCAUCAUCAAACCACCCUGUAAAGCAUCAACAUCACAGGCUUCUUAAAACCCCACUACGUACCUGCCUCUCCAACUUCCUAUUAUCCUAUAUACAAACCCUACAAGCUGCUCACCUUCUUCAUAUAAACACAUUCUCCCAAAAAAAUCCAUGAGGAGGAAAGGCAGAAAAAUGUGGUGGGUGGUGCCUUGCAGAAGCAAGAGGAGUUUGCAGACCGAAUCAAGAAUGGACAUCGAGCAGAUUCUUAAAGCCAAGCUUGAAACUAUCAAAGAGGAAUCCGAGGCCAUGGAUGAUACGUGUACUACGGGACAGUUAACAAAGCAUAGGUGCUCCAUGAUGAAGAAGGAGAAGAAGUUUUAUAUGAAAGUAGCAAUGGGAGGGGUGUUCCAGCCUCAUUUCAGUUUGAAGUUUAAGGACUCUUAUCUUCUGUUCAUGUCGGGUUUUGUUUCCAAAAGAUGCUUGGGUGCAAUUCCUCAGUGUUAGUAUAACUCUGAGUUUAUCUUCAUUCUUCAUUGUGAUCAGCUUUUCGUUUGCACUUCUUUUUCA